rnacentral:rRNA from 1 species
UACGGGAGGCAGCAGUGGAGAAUUUUGGACAAUGGGGGAAACCCUGAUCCAGCAAUGCCGCGUGUGCGAAGAAGGCCUUCGGGUUGUAAAGCACUUUUGUCAGGGAAGAAAUCCUUUGGGCUAAUACCCUAGGGGGAUGACGGUACCUGAAGAAUAAGCACCGGCUAACUACGUGCCAGCAGUCGCGGUAAU